rnacentral:rRNA from 1 species
AGACCCGAAACCCGGUGAUCUAGCCAUGGGCAGGUUGAAGGUUGGGUAACACUAACUGGAGGACCGAACCGACUAAUGUUGAAAAAUUAGCGGAUGACCUGUGGCUGGGGGUGAAAGGCCAAUCAAACCGGGAGAUAGCUGGUUCUCCCCGAAAGCUAUUUAGGUAGCGCCUCGUGAAUUCAUCUCCGGGGGUAGAGCACUGUUUCGGCUAGGGGGCCAUCCCGGCUUACCAACCCGAUGCAAACUGCGAAUACCGGAGAAUGUUAUCACGGGAGACACACGGCGGGUGCUAACGUCCGUCGUGAAGAGGGAAACAACCCAGACCGCCAGCUAAGGUCCCAAAGUCAUGGUUAAGUGGGAAACGAUGUGGGAAGGCCCAGACAGCCAGGAUGUUGGCUUAGAAGCAGCCAUCAUUUAAAGAAAGCGUAAUAGCUCACUGGUCGAGUCGGCCUGCGCGGAAGAUGUAACGGGGCUAAACCAUGCACCGAAGCUGCGGCAGCGACGCUGAUGCGUUGUUGGGUAGGGGAGCGUUCUGUAAGCCUGCGAAGGUGGCCUGUGAGGGUUGCUGGAGGUAUCAGAAGUGCGAAUGCUGACAUAAGUAACGAUAAAGCGGGUGAAAAGCCCGCUCGCCGGAAGACCAAGGGUUCCUGUCCAACGUUAAUCGGGGCAGGGUGAGUCGACCCCUAAGGCGAGGCCGAAAGGCGUAGUCGAUGGGAAACGGGUUAAUAUUCCCGUACUUGGUGUUACUGCGAAGGGGGGACGGAGAAGGCUAUGUUGGCCGGGCGACGGUUGUCCCGGUUUAAGCGUGUAGGUGUGUGUUCCAGGUAAAUCCGGUUCACUUUAACACUGAGGCGUGAUGACGAGGCACUACGGUGCUGAAGCAACAAAUGCCCUGCUUCCAGGAAAAGCCUCUAAGCAUCAGGUAACAUCAAAUCGUACCCCAAACCGACACAGGUGGUCAGGUAGAGAAUACCAAGGCGCUUGAGAGAACUCGGGUGAAGGAACUAGGCAAAAUGGUGCCGUAACUUCGGGAGAAGGCACGCUGACACGUAGGUGAAGUGAUUUACUCAUGGAGCUGAAGUCAGUCGAAGAUACCAGCUGGCUGCAACUGUUUAUUAAAAACACAGCACUGUGCAAACACGAAAGUGGACGUAUACGGUGUGACGCCUGCCCGGUGCCGGAAGGUUAAUUGAUGGGGUCAGCGCAAGCGAAGCUCCUGAUCGAAGCCCCGGUAAACGGCGGCCGUAACUAUAACGGUCCUAAGGUAGCGAAAUUCCUUGUCGGGUAAGUUCCGACCUGCACGAAUGGCGUAAUGAUGGCCAGGCUGUCUCCACCCGAGACUCAGUGAAAUUGAACUCGCUGUGAAGAUGCAGUGUACCCGCGGCAAGACGGAAAGACCCCGUGAACCUUUACUAUAGCUUGACACUGAACAUUGAGCCUUGAUGUGUAGGAUAGGUGGGAGGCUUUGAAGUGUGGACGCCAGUCUGCAUGGAGCCGGCCUUGAAAUACCACCCUUUAAUGUUUGAUGUUCUAACGUGGACCCGUGAUCCGGGUUGCGGACAGUGUCUGGUGGGUAGUUUGACUGGGGCGGUCUCCUCCUAAAGAGUAACGGAGGAGCACGAAGGUUGGCUAAUCCUGGUCGGACAUCAGGAGGUUAGUGCAAUGGCAUAAGCCAGCUUGACUGCGAGCGUGACGGCGCGAGCAGGUGCGAAAGCAGGUCAUAGUGAUCCGGUGGUUCUGAAUGGAAGGGCCAUCGCUCAACGGAUAAAAGGUACUCCGGGGAUAACAGGCUGAUACCGCCCAAGAGUUCAUAUCGACGGCGGUGUUUGGCACCUCGAUGUCGGCUCAUCACAUCCUGGGGCUGAAGUAGGUCCCAAGGGUAUGGCUGUUCGCCAUUUAAAGUGGUACGCGAGCUGGGUUUAGAACGUCGUGAGACAGUUCGGUCCCUAUCUGCCGUGGGCGCUGGAGAACUGAGGGGGGCUGCUCCUAGUACGAGAGGACCGGAGUGGACGCAUCACUGGUGUUCGGGUUGUCAUGCCAAUGGCACUGCCCGGUAGCUAAAUGCGGAAGAGAUAAGUGCUGAAAGCAUCUAAGCACGAAACUUGCCCCGAGAUGAGUUCUCCCUGAGACUUAGAGUCUCCUGAAGGAACGUUGAAGACGACGACGUUGAUAGGCCGGGUGUGUAAGCGCAGCGAUGCGUUGAGCUAACCGGUACUAAUGAAC